CUCUACUGAACAGUCAUGAGGAAA
rnacentral:piRNA from 1 species